AGAGUUUGAUCCUGGCUCAGAACGAACGCUGGCGGCGCGUCUUAAGCAUGCAAGUCGAACGGCAAGAGAGGAGCUUGCUUCUCUCCUAGAGUGGCGGACUGGUGAGGAACACGUGGGUAAUCUACCCUUAAGAUGGGGAUAGCUGCUAGAAAUAGCAGGUAAUACCGAAUACACUCAGCACUUCAUAAGAGGUAUUGAGGAAAGGAAGCUACGGCUUCGCUUGAGGAUGAGCUUGCGUCCCAUUAGCUAGUUGGUGAGGUAAAGGCCCACCAAGGCGACGAUGGGUAUCCGGCCUGAGAGGGUGAACGGACACAUUGGGACUGAGAUACGGCCCAAACUCCUACGGGAGGCAGCAGCUAAGAAUAUUCCGCAAUGGACGGAAGUCUGACGGAGCGACGCCGCGUGGAUGAAGAAGGCUGAAAAGUUGUAAAAUCCUUUUGUUGAUGAAGAAUAAGGGUGAGAGGGAAUGCUCAUCUGAUGACGGUAAUCGACGAAUAAGCCCCGGCUAAUUACGUGCCAGCAGCCGCGGUAACACGUAAGGGGCGAGCGUUGUUCGGAAUUAUUGGGCGUAAAGGGCAUGUAGGCGGUUAUGUAAGCCUGAUGUGAAAUCCUGGGGCUUAACCCUAGAAUAGCAUUGGGUACUGUAUAACUUGAAUUACGGAAGGGAAACUGGAAUUCCAAGUGUAGGGGUGGAAUCUGUAGAUAUUUGGAAGAACACCGGUGGCGAAGGCGGGUUUCUGGCCGAUAAUUGACGCUGAGAUGCGAAAGUGUGGGGAUCGAACAGGAUUAGAUACCCUGGUAGUCCACACCGUAAACGAUGUACACUAGGUGUUGGGGCAAGAGCUUCAGUGCCAAAGCAAACGCGAUAAGUGUACCGCCUGGGGAGUAUGCCCGCAAGGGUGAAACUCA
rnacentral:rRNA from 1 species